rnacentral:sRNA from 1 species
CUAGUUAAUGUUAAAUCUAUAUACACAUUUUUAGCAGCACUUUUUGUCUUUAAUGUUUGAAUUUCUCUCACUAAUAUUUUAGUUAAGAUGAGUCAAAAUUUACCCGGUUUAAUUAUGUUCGGAUAUUACAUAACUUUAAUGGAUCGGAUUAUUUACCUGGUUUUAUUGUGUUCCAAUCCUGAGAACAUUAAUUUUUGAAAAAAGUUACCAUUUCUAUCAAAAAAAUAAUUGGAAACGAAAUUAAUUAUUU